rnacentral:rRNA from 1 species
AUUGAACGCUGGCGGCAGGCCUAACACAUGCAAGUCGAGCGGAGCGGCGGACGGGUGAGUAAGGCCUAGGAAGCUGCCCGGUAGUGGGGGAUAACGUCCGGAAACGGGCACUAAUACCGCAUAAUAUAAGAUGAGCCUAGGUCGGAUUAGCUAGUUGGUGGGGUAAAGGCCUACCAAGGCGACGAUCCGUAACUGGUCUUAGAGAAUGAUCAGUCACACUGGAACUGAGACACGGUCCAGACUCCUACGGGAGGCAGCAGUGGGGAAUAUUCGGCAAUGGGCGAAAGCCUGAUCCAGCCAUGCCGCGUGUGUGAAGAAGGUCUUCGGAUUGUAAAGCACUUUAAGUUGGGAGGCGUUACCAACAGAAUAAGCACCGGCUAACUUCGUGCCAGCAGCCGCGGUAAUAC